rnacentral:rRNA from 1 species
UACGAAGGGAGCUAGCGUUGUUCGGAAUUCCUGGGCGUAAAGGGCGCGUAGGCGGGUUUCCAAGUCGGGGGUGAAAUUCCAGGGCUCAACCCUGGGACGGCCUUCGAUACUGGGAGCCUGGAGAUCGGGAGAGGUGAGUGGAAUUCCGAGUGUAGAGGUGAAAUUCGUAGAUAUUCGGAGGAACACCAGAAGCGAAGGCGGCUCACUGGCCCGAGACUGACGCUGAGGCGCGAAAGCGUGGGGAGCAAACAGG